rnacentral:lncRNA from 1 species
GUUGGUCAGGCUGGUCUCGAAAUCCAGACCUCAGGUGAUCUGCCCGCCUCAGCCCCACAAAGUGCUGGGAUUAGAGGCGUGAGCCACUGCACCCUGCCUCAUCUCAUUCUUAUCUCUUGUUUCAGUGAGCCAAUAUGUUAUUUUAUUUUAUUGAGAGCCAAGCGAAUGUACUCUAAAAUAUACCAGAGAAAUAUACCAUAAAAUGUCAUUUGGAAAAUUUUAUUUUUCUCUGUUUAUAGUGUCCUUAAACAUAUAUUUCCUUUUACUCAUGCAUGCAUGAUGAGACUUCUAUCUAGGAAUUAUAUUUGAUUUCUAGUGGAUUGAGUAAGUUCUUCUUGAAUUCCUUUGAACUUUACCUAUAUGCGUGAUUGCAGUCUCUGACACAUCAUCCUCAUAAUCAAUAAAUAUGGAGACUAUAAAAAGAUUCUCUAACAUAAAGAGAAACAAGGCAAACAAAACAAAUUUAAACUUAGCUUUCUUAUCUACUUAAAGGAGAUAAUAACACUUAGGUCACAGGAAAUAUUGCAAGAUUAAAUGCCUAAGAUGUUUGACAUACUCCCUGAGAAAUACUUAACAGAUAUAGCUCUUAUUAUUACAUCAGUGGAGAAUCUAGUUAUUAUCCAGAAUAUUAAAUUGGCAUGGAAAAAGCAUCUGGUUAUUGAAACUUUGGAUAUGUAAAAAUAGCAUUCAUGGAUAGUACUCAUUUCUUACCACAUCAUUGCAAAAUUACAAACAGCCUGGGAGUCCUUCAUUUUUAUUCUUCACCUUGAGAAGCGUGUGGACAAUCUAACUACCAAUAUCAUCCUUUACGUAACUCCUUAACUCCCUUUAAACAUUAUACUUCGGGCUGGGCGCGGGGGCUCAUGCCUGUAAUCCCAGGACUUUGGAAGGCUGAGGCGGGCAGAUCACGAGGCCAGGAGAUUGAGACCGUCCUGGCUAACACGGUGAAGCCCCGUCUCUACUAAAAAUGCAAAAAAUUAGCUGGGCGUGGUGGCAGGUGCCUGUAGUCCCAGCUACUCGGGAGGCUGAGGCAGGAGGAUGGCAUGAGCCCGGGAGGCGGAGGUUGCAGUGAGCCGAGAUUGCGCCACUGCACUCCAGCCUGGGUGACAGAGCAAGACUCUGUCUC